CCCUUAGAUGUCCGGGGCUGCACGCGCGCUACACUGAAGGAAUCAGCGUGCUAAAACCAUUGUCGAAAGGCAUUGGUAAACCCAUUAAAAUCCUACGUGAUUGGGAUCGAGAAUUGCAAUUAUUUCCCUUGAACGAGGAAUUCCCAGUAAGUGUGGGUCAUAAGCUCGCGUUGAUUACGUCCCUGCCCUUUGUACACACCGCCCGUCGCUGCCCGGGACUGAGCCGUUUCGAGAAAAGCGGGGACUGCUGCUGUCGGGGCUUUCGGGCCUUGGCUUCGGUGGAAACCGCUUUAAUCGCAGUGGCUUGAACCGGGCAAAAGUCGUAACA
rnacentral:rRNA from 1 species